UUUCUUUGGUCUUUACAACCCUAAUCGCCUGCCGCACCUCUUCCUCUCUGUGUUCCCUUUAUCUUGAGUUUUUCUUCUGCAACAGAAACCUAUCAAUCUCCGCUGCCUCCGAAUGGUAGUAGACAAGAAAAUUAUCAUCACCUACGAACCAACUUUAUCAAUCCAUAAUCAUUGCCCACAAUAACCCAAUUUUUCAAAUGGAUGAUUCUGUUAUAGAUGGUCCUGUUCAAGUUGGGGGUCGAAUGCAUGAGUAAUUCAGGGGGGAGUGAUCCUUCGUUAUAAAAUUUGGGACAGUUAGUGAAUUCGUUAAUUGCUAGCUCGCUGCAAAGUUCUGAAAGGGUGAUUGCGCAAAAUCAACUUGGAGAUGCUGCUAUUUCUUUAAAGGUUAACAAAAUAGAUGAUUCAAGAACAUAUAGAACAUCGUGGUGCUUCGAUUUCGUCAGAUAAUGGAGACCAAUAUAGAUUUUUGGCAAUUUUUAAAUGUUGAGUUCAUCAAAGAAGUAUCGUUUUAUUCAUCUGCCGAUUUUCGAUUAUAAUCUUGAUACUUUCUGCCGUUAAACAAAUAUGUCGCUAGCUACAAGAAGCAGCAAUGCGUCGAUCAGGUAAAACUACUCUUACACCUAUUGAAAAUUAAAUUCGUAAAUGCACCACAUGAGAAUGGUGCUGCUUAUUGUCUUACAUGCUGUCGAUGCAUGAGUUUAAUGUGAUAAUGAGGUGAUGUACGAUGCAUUAUUUAGAACCGUUCAUGUGCGUCAUUGUUGUGAGAAAGGAAGGCGACAAUGCGCUUAAUGGCAUGCUCAAAAAUGUCAUUGGAACUCUUGAUUUUCGUUUCAAGUACAUGUUACAGGGGGAGACUUAUCCUGAGGUGCAUUAUACAUGGAUAAUUAUCUAAUUUAAGUUAGCAUUUUGAUGUUUAGAAUCACCUAAUUAAGAUUUGAAUCCCUUGGUUGCCCAGGAAUUUUUAUAGCCAGCUGCGAAUCUGUUUAGCACCUUCAAAAGAAGGGGACCACAGAAACAUGGCAUAAUCUCAAACAUAAUUGUUGCCAAAAGUGCACGUCAACAAGGUAUAAAGCAGGUAUACUUACAUGUCUGUCGGGAUAACAAACCAGCAUUAGCACUGUACAGAAAGAUGGGAUUUGGGAGGCGACUCCACAUCUGGAAGAAUAAAACCUAUACGUGUGCAACAUAAAUCUGUAGUUAGAUUUUACUCAUUCUUUAAACUCAUAAAGGGGUUGUUUGUGCAGCUGUUCUUGAAAGUACAGAAUUCUCAUGGUACAACUUCAAGAAAUAUUUACGGUUGGUUUCAAAAGUCUCGAAGGACGGUAUGAAACACCUGAGGAUGAAAUACUUGAAAAUGCAAAGGCAAAUUUAAAGAAUUUUGAGGAAAGGAAAGAUUACAGUUCUAGGAACAUGAAAGGUAAAAUUGGUGGACGCCAUCAACUUACUCAAAACUAGAAAAAAUAGGCGGUGUUGAGUUCAGUAAUUGGGCAAGCUGAGUAUAUACCUGCUUACAGGCUUCAAAUUGACAGUGACAAAUUUAAGGACGUGAAGCUUGAUAUAGUUGGAGGAAAUCUGAAGAAAAUAGGUGGGAAGUACUUCUGACCCACUCCCAAUUGGUAUUUUAUUCUUCCCUUGCAUCCCGGCCUUCAACCAGUAUUCUUAACGGAAAAGAGCCUCCGAUUGAAAUGUCGUGUUAAGAUUUUUUGGGCUAAGAACGAUGUGAUAUACUACUUUUUUUACAGUAAUUAUCCUCAAUAUAUACUCAAAUUGUUUUUUUA